UACGGAGGGUGCAAGCGUUAUCCGGAUUCACUGGGUUUAAAGGGUGCGUAGGUGGGCUAGUAAGUCCGUGGUGAAAUCUCCAAGCUUAACUUGGAAACUGCCGUGGAUACUAUUAGUCUUGAAUAUUGUGGAGGUAAGCGGAAUAUGUCAUGUAGCGGUGAAAUGCUUAGAUAUGACAUAGAACACCGAUAGCGAAGGCAGCUUGCUAGACAAUCAUUGACACUGAGGCACGAAAGCGUGGGGAUCAAACAGG
rnacentral:rRNA from 1 species